UACAGAGGGUGCAAGCGUUGUUCGGAAUUAUUGGGCGUAAAGCGCGUGUAGGCGGCUUUGCAAGUCGAGUGUGAAAGCCCCCGGCUCAACUGGGGAGGGUCACUCGAUACUGAUCGACUCGAAGGCAGAAGAGGGAAGCGGAAUUCCCGGUGUAGUGGUGAAAUGCGUAGAUAUCGGGAGGAACACCAGUGGCGAAGGCGGCUUUCUGGUCUGCUCUUGACGCUGAGGCGCGAAAGCUAGGGUAGCAAACGGG
rnacentral:rRNA from 1 species